CUGGUUGAUCCUGCCAGUAGUCAUAUGCUUGUCUCAAAGAUUAAGCCAUGCAUGUCUAAGUAUAAGCAAUCUAUACAGUGAAACUGCGAAUGGCUCAUUAAAUCAGUUAUCGUUUAUUUGAUAGUACCUUACUACUUGGAUAACCGUGGUAAUUCUAGAGCUAAUACAUGCUAAAAACCUCGACUUCGGAAGGGGUGUACUUAUUAGAUAAAAAACCAAUGCCCUUCGGGGCUCCUUGGUGAUUCAUGAUAACUUAACGAAUCGCAUGGCCUUGUGCCGGCGAUGGUUCAUUCAAAUUUCUGCCCUAUCAACUUUCGAUGGUAGGAUAGUGGCCUACCAUGGUUUCAACGGGUAACGGGGAAUUAGGGUUCUAUUCCGGAGAGGGAGCCUGAGAAACGGCUACCACAUCCAAGGAAGGCAGCAGGCGCGCAAAUUACCCAAUCCCGACACGGGGAGGUAGUGACAAUAAAUACUGAUACAGGGCUCUUUUGGGUCUUGUAGUUGGAAUGAGUACAAUUUAAAUCCCUUAACGAGGAACAAUUGGAGGGCAAGUCUGGUG
rnacentral:rRNA from 1 species